GCCUGGGAGCUAAUGCAGAGGAUGCCAGAAGAGCAGCCCUCUGGAGAGUCUGCAGUAGAAGCUGCAGCAACUGAGGGCUGGCAGAUCAGGCCACAGUAAGAGCAGCCAGGGUAUAAAAGGAGGCUGUGGUUAUUUAAUUUGUGAAUCUUGCAGAAUAUGAGGAAAACCAACUGAAAGAUCUGUGAAUACAUAUGUUUUGAAAAUGUCAGGUACCACUGAUGUAUCCCCAGUCAGAGGCCAGGGAAACAAUACAUAGAUGAAUUCUUGAUUAAUAUUAAUGCCUAGAUUUGGGGCUUUUCUUCACGUGAGGGUGUGUACAGCUCACUUCAACCUACAUGAAUGAAGAACAGGAGCAGUGUGUAGAGGAAUUUGCCCUUGUCAGGAGCUGUGUGGGGCAACUAGUCCUGGUGGAAACUUUUUUUCUGCAUAGUGGAACAGCUCCCACUGGAGGGGUUGGGAAUUCCCACUUCCCACCACAGAACAACUUAGAGCCUGGUAGAUAAGAUGUUCCUGAAAGCCCCAAAUAUGGAAUUUGCAGUUGAAGUUGAAGAUACAGAAACAAGCAAUGUUCAAUCAUGAAGUGGAGAAAAAUGUAGGGUAUGCCUGCAGGAUGUCCCCAGUACUUACGAGCAUAUCCCCAUCCCUUCCUCUCUCCUCACCAACCCUGCCACUCUCAAACAUGCCAGAGAACUUAAAAGCAGUAGUGGGGAGGAGGAAACAAACCCAAAAGACUCCCCUGCCUCAUUUCUUAGUUUGGCAUGUACGAGCAGAAUUGGUUGAAUGAAGCAUGUUCCAUAACACUGGGACUGUGGUAUACAUGUGGUCUUAAGGUGUAACACCAUGCCAUUCUUUGGGGCCAGAGAUAAGAUUAUUAUGGUAUUAGAAAAAGGAGAUCUAUAACUUUCUAAGGGGUGUGCUUCAAUCGAUGCUAACCCUUGGACCAAGUCCAAAUCCAGGGGUUGUGGUAGUGUAACAUAACACCCAGUUUCUUUUUUUUUCCCUGAUAUAGCUAGAGAUAGAGAUAUAAAUAUGCAUUCCCUUCCCCAACUAUAUAUGACUUGUCCUCUCCCUCUCUAUUCCCUAUA